rnacentral:rRNA from 1 species
UACGGGGGGGGUAAGCGUUGUUCGGAAUUACUGGGCGUAAAGGGCUCGUAGGCGGCCAACUAAGUCAGACGUGAAAUCCCUCAGCUUAACUGGGGAACUGCGUCUGAUACUGGAUGGCUUGGAUCCGGAAGAGGGAUGCGGAAUUCCAGGUGUAGCGGUGAAAUGCGUAGAUAUCUGGAGGAACACCGGUGGCGAAGGCGGCAUCCUGGGCCGGUACUGACGCUGAGGUGCGAAAGCGUGGGGAGCAAACAGG